CGGGGAAGAAGGGGCUCCGCGGCCCUUGGGACCGUUAGGGCGGCGCGUCGCGGGGCUGUGGCUCCCCGUCAGCUCAGGCUCUGGAGGCGGGGGGAGGGGGCAGCGGAUGGGCCCUGGGGUGAUGCCGGCCGGGGAGUUUUCCCGGGUGAAUUUAGAAAACAAACAACGCUUGAAAAGUGCUUCCUAAAUGUGGGUGGAUUCUCAGUGCACAUCAUAGGAGGGAAUCAGGUGCGAUAUUAAGAAUACUUAUUUGCUGAAGCAUGUUAAAACACCUCAGGAUUGGGAGAAGCUUCUAAGAAAAUCUGUCAGCCUUUAAGUGGGGUUGGCAGAAGUGAUUAUUUAACGGUUUAAGUAAUUGCUUUUUUGCUUCAAUUGCUUUUUCUGUUGAUUUCAUUAAGUCUUUGGAAACUGUUGCACUGGUUUCACUGCUGUGGUAAAAUAAAGAUGACGUAAGGUGCGGGAGCAAGCUCUCUUGAACAGUCUGUUCUGCAUGUUGUAAGUGCAACAGAUGUAAUUAAAAAUAAUACACGGGCAUCUCUUCUCUGUUUAAAAAAUAAUGGCACUAGCAAUUCAAGAUCAUUGUAUCGUAUCUCUUCAUUCAGAAAGGAGAAGCAGCCAAUUGUGGGACUGUUCUUGGAUUUCUUAAAACACAUUACACAAUCAGCUGGGAUCCUCCCUUUAAUUAUAUAUUUGGGAAUGGAUUUUGUAAUGAAAAUCAGGUUAGCAACAGUAAAUACCCAUUUCAAACACUUUCAUUAUUUUCUUACUAUAGUCUUGAUGUCCCAUAGAUUAGAAGAGUGUUUUUGAGUUGCAUCUCCAAUGUAGUAGGCACAAAGUCUCAAAAAAUCCAAGUGCUACUCCCAGUGGUGAUAGCAGUGUAAAUUCUGACGUAUUCUUUGUGUUGAAUUCACAGCUUUGGUGUAUUCACCAUAGAAAACAACACACAGCUUGUUCUAACUUUUUAUAGUUCUAACGUUUUAUUAAACUAUUUAAAAAGAAGAGAGAAUGUGUACCUCCGUUGCUUGAUCUGGGCUUCACUUGGGGGCACUGGGCGCAUUGAAAGCGCCAUCCUCUUGGUGCACUUAAAUUUCUUUAAGAUCAGUCCAGUAGCCUGCUGCAAAAUAAGGGUUUUUCUGAUCGAGCAAAUCUAGACGGGGGCUGCAGUCCACUCAUAAGUGAUGCAAGCAGCACUAUGGCUCAUGUGCCAAAUUUUAGUCUUUGCUGUACUGCCCAUUGGAAGAUCAAUUGCUGUCACAGGGUUCUUUUUUUUUUUUAAAAAAAAAAAAAAAAAAAA